GAGGCUGUAGCUCAGUGGUAGAACAUCUGCUUGGUAAGCAGAAGGUCCUAGGUUCAAUCCCUGGCAUCUUCA